UACGGGGGGGGCAAGCGUUGUUCGGAAUUACUGGGCGUAAAGGGCGCGUAGGCGGCUCGCUAAGUUGGAUGUGAAAACUCUGGGCUUAACCCAGAGCCUGCAUCCAAAACUGGCAAGCUUGAGUACUGGAGGGGAAAGCGGAAUUCCUGGUGUAGCGGUGAAAUGCGUAGAUAUUGGGAAGAACACCAGUGGCGAAGGCGGCUCACUGGCCCGUAACUGACGCUGAGGUGCGAAAGCGUGGGGAGCAAACAGG
rnacentral:rRNA from 1 species